rnacentral:lncRNA from 1 species
CUUUCUCUCCGCCGUUACAUCCUCUCAUCUCUCUGAAGCUCUCUCUCUGCUAAACCCUACCCUUCUCUCACCAACCGUUGGCUCGCUGUAAUAAUGGUGGUUCCACAACCACUCCUAGCCUCCAUGGCUAGGGACCAAGGCUGUUCAACUCACGCAUAUGGUCUGAUUCUGGCCGUUCCCAAGCCACCCUUGGCCUGUUCGAGUAAGAUCUUUCUUUUUAUGGCUAGAUCUAUGGCUUCUAAGCCGGAAUCUCUCUAUAUCUGGGUUAUCUCUCUCUGAAACCCUAAUUUUAGCUCUUGAAUUCUUAGAUCUGUAAUAGAUCUAAGAGCUUUCUAAGUUAUCUUUACUAUUUUCUUAAGAAUCUCUCAGAUUUUUCAAAGAUUCCUUUUCAUCUUCAAACUAGGGUUUCUUAACCUCUUUUCAAAAUUACUUUCCCUCUGAUUUUUUGAUAUUAUUCUAUGAUUCUUACUAUGUUUACAUGGCUAUGUAAGUUUGUCCCUUUUAUCUAAUUUAUCAUGUUGAAAACCCUAGUUCUUGGUCUUAAUCCUGGGUUCUGAAUAUGUAUUUGAUAAUAUGUUCGCUUAAUCUGUAUAUGUGCUUAUUUCUCAUGAGCCUUAUGAUUCUUUGUGAUUUUACCCUAUUUUGUUCAUCAGUGUCUCUGACUUUACCUCUUCCACCUAUGUCAUGUUUGUUCUAUUAAUUCAUUCUAUGCUCUAUGUGAAUCCCUAAUUUUGUGUGAUUUACGCUAUUUGGCUUAUUAGGAUUUCUGAUUCUUGCCUAUUAUGUGUUUAUUCCGCUUGUUCUCAUAAAUUUGUGACAGUUUCUCCUAAACCAGUACUAUUUGCUAUUUUUGAAUCUUUGAAUCUCUGUGUUUUAUCCUUCACUGAUUUAUUGUGAUAUUCUCUACUGAUUUUAGCCUUUAAAAUAUUUUCUUACCUUAAUCUUUGGUCGAGCAUGUUGUCAACUGAUUCUUAAGUAUUUCCCUUGUUUAGAAUCCGCUGACCCUAGUCUCUAUUACAUGUUGUGUACUUGUGCUAUGCUGAAAAUAUUUCCUUAUUUGUUAUAUUCAGCCUUAUGUGAUUUCCUUCCUUAUUUUCCUGCUACCGUUUAAAUUUAACUCCUUAAUUAAAGGAAGUACUUAUACUGAUUUGAUUGUAAUUAGUACGUAGUUCCAUUAUUACUGUUGAACUAUGAUUCUUGCCUUAUUUUCUACCUAUUUUCAAACUAUAAGUACCUUACUCUUUCAUUAGCACAAGGACACGAACACAUUGGUUCAAACACUCUCUCUCUCACACAAACUCUCCUCUACUCUCUUUUCUCUGGUUAUUUGCUAUUGUUCUAAGUCAGCCGGCUGCAAGCCAAGGCUUAUUAUUCUACUCUCUUGCUCCUCACUUUGUGUUUUUUACCUUCUUUACUAGUAUGUUCUGAUUUCAAUUUAAGUUCCAAAAACAAUAUGGUCCUUUUAUUACCUCAAUUCAUCUUAUUUCUAGUCUGGUUUUACUUAUGGUUUUGCAGUGAAAUCUGUAGUUGAUAUGUUUAUAUUAUUAGCAUGUUAUGUACCCCCCUUCCUUAGGAUCAGUAUGAACAUGUUACCCCCCUCUAUGUUGUUUGUCUUCACGUGAUCUUGCUCUAUUUGGUUUCUGGUAUGAAUCUCCUUGUAAAGUAAUCUACUCUCCUAAACUUGUAUGAUUGUGGGAUUGAUUUUAAAUUAUGUUGAUCCUAUACUGAACCCCUUAAGCAUUGUUGAUUAUAUGAAUAUGUCUAAUCAAUGUUUUUGAGCAUAUCUGUACCAAUUCCAAAGACUUAUACCUGCUAUGUUUUUACCAUUAUGUGCUUUACCUAUCUCCAUUUCCCAUUUACCCUUGUGUGAAGGCUUGUGAUGCUAAACCUAUCUUGGUUCUUUGUUCUAUGUGCGAUGUUGAACCUGUUUUAGUUAUGAGGUUGGUCUGUUGUUUGUUGGUUGCCCUACUAUUUUCAAAACUGUCUUAUUGAAUAACUCAUUUUUUGUUUUACAAAACUAUUUUCAAGUGUAUUUUCAAAUUGUUUUCCUACUUAAAUUUUUUUCAAAACUAUUUCAAGCACUCUCACUCUAUUCUUAGAUCCCUAAGUUCUACCCCUCUAAUGUGUGAAUGCUUAGAGAUCCCUAUGAGAUCCCUCUUAACUCUGAUGCAUUGGAACUGGCCCUUCCACACUGCACUUACUCAAAUAUGGUCGUGAAAUCUGGGUGUGAGCACUUGUCGAGAUCCCUUGAGGUCCUUAGGGAGCUCUGACACACCAAGAUAUUGAGAAAGGCUAUGAACAAUCUAAGCAGUUGAGGUUUUUGAAAUCUGGGCCUACUUGCAGGCUCCCUAUAG